GGUAAANUGGCUGAAAUUUAAGCGGUAAAUUGUAAAUUUAUUUAUGAAUAAUAUUCCUUUUCCU
rnacentral:tRNA from 1 species